rnacentral:miRNA from 1 species
CUAGCAAUAAUGUUGGAUGCAC